rnacentral:rRNA from 1 species
AUACGUAGGGGGCGAGCGUUGUCCGGAAUGAUUGGGCGUAAAGGGCGCGUAGGCGGCCCGGUAAGUCUGGAGUGAAAGUCCUGUUUUUAAGAUGGGAAUUGCUUUGGAUACUGUCGGGCUUGAGUGCAGGAGAGGUAAGUGGAAUUCCCAGUGUAGCGGUGAAAUGCGUAGAGAUUGGGAGGAACACCAGUGGCGAAGGCGACUUACUGGACUGUAACUGACGCUGAGGCGCGAAAGUGUGGGGAGCAAACAGGAUUAGAUACCCUGGUAGUCCACACUGUAAACGAUGAAUUCUAGGUGUAGGGGGUAUCGACCCCUUCUGGGCCGCAGUCAACACAAUAAGCAUUCCGCCUGGGGAGUACGGCCGCAAGGUUGAAACUCAAAUGAAUUGACGGGG